UCCUCUCUCUCUCUCUCUCUCUCUCUCUCUCCCUUUAGAUGCAGCGACAGCCAUCGCCAUCUCCACCUAUUUCCUCUUUCUCAAUCGACCCUCUCUCUCUAUUUCCCCUUUUCCCUCUCUCAAUCGACCAUCUCUUUGUUUCCCCUUUCUUAAUCCACCUCUUCUCCUCUAGGGUUAGUCUCUCUCUCUCUCUAUAGACCGGAUCUGGUUUUUCUCUCAAGCUACAACAGAUUUCGAUGCAAACAUGGGGUUUUCUCUCAAGUAAUUAGCAGAUUAUCUACGACCACAUCUAAUCAUAAGGUUUGCAAUUGACACAAUGCAGUCAGUUUUCCUUGAUGAAUUUGGGGGAGAAAAUGCCCUGGAUCAUAGCACUCAACAGACGACUCUUAUUCAACACAUAUUUGGUGGUCAUCUUCAAUCUUAGAUAUUGAUCAAGUUGGAGGAUAAUAGACUGGUUGAAACUGUUGGGAUACCGGUUGAAGAUAAUAAAGGUUUUUAUCGCCUCACUGCUUGUAUAUCUUCACAGGAAGCUUUGUCGGGCUCACGUUGUAUUUUAACUAACUUGUCGAAGUAGUCAAGGAACAUAGUGAUGGAUAAGAGUUGGAUUCAUUUGUCAAGGGUAAGCAAUGCAUACUUAAGUGGAGCUACGGAAUUCCUAGACUUUGCAUUUACAAAUUCAAGUGAUAGCGGGAGGAUCCUAUGUCCGUGUAAGAACUCUAAUAACAACUUCUAGGUAUCUCGACAAGAAGCAUACGAUCAUAUUGUGU